rnacentral:rRNA from 1 species
ACUCCUACGGGAGGCAGCAGUGAGGAAUAUUGGUCAAUGGAGGGAACUCUGAACCAGCCAUCCCGCGUGUAGGAAGACGGCCUUAUGGGUUGUAAACUACUUUUAUACAGGAAGAAACGUACCCUCGUGAGGGUGCGUGACGGUACUGUAGGAAAUAAGCACCGGCUAACUCCGUGCCAGCAGCCGCGGUAAUACGGAGGG